GGACUUUCUUCAAACUCAGUCACACAGUAAGACAUGAAGCAAGUCUCAAAAAUUUGGGAAAAUGGAAAUAACACUUUGCAUACUAUCUGACCACCAAGAAACAAAGCUAGUUAUUGAAAAUAGAAAUCUCAAAAGGCACAAAACUCACAGAAGCUAAACAGCAGACUACUGGAUGGAAACCAAGGAAAAAAAUUAAGAAGGAAAUUAAAGAUUUUCUAAAAUUUAAUUAAAACGAAAACACAACCUACCAGAAUCUGUGGGAUACAAUGAAAAGUCAGUACUAAGAAACUGUUCACAGCACUGAGAACCUACAUCAAAAAACUGGAAAGAGUAUAUUGAAGAAGUUAAUACUGUACUGAAAGGACUUGGAAAAGCAAGAAUAAACAACACCCCAAAGGAGUCAAUGAAAAGAAAUAAUAAAACCUACAGACAAAAUUAAUGAAAUAGAAAUGAAAAAAAAUCAGUGAAAGAAAGGGUUGUUUAGGAGACUCUUGCCUGUCACUGCCAGACACUUCUCUCAGGCGGUGCGUAAAAAAAUAUUUCUUGGAAGAUGGCCACUAUGCAGUUGCAAAGGACAGCUUCCCUGAAUUCAUUGGUAUUUCCCAAUAAGAUAUCAAUGGAGCAUCAGUCUUUGAUGUUUGUGAAGAGGCUCCUAGUUGUUUCAGUGUCUUGCAUCACCUAUUUGAGACGAAUAUUUCCAGAACGUGCUUAUGGGACAAGAUAUCUGGAUGAUCUCUGUGUCAAAAUUCUGAAAGAAGAUAAGAAUUGUUCAGGUUCUUCACAGCUAGUGAAGUGGAUGCUAGGAUGCUUUACAGAAGAAAUAUCUACGGAUGAUCAAUCUAGCUGAAUACACCAAUCCAGGAGAUCCUCAGACAAUUUCAGGAUGUUACCAGUUUAAAUUCCAGUACACCAAAAAAAAAAAAAAUGGACCAAUCAUGGACUUUAUAAGCAAAACAAUAAAUCUUGUACAACAUCUGCUGACAGCAAGAAAGCAAGCAUUCCCCUCAUUCGGAAGAUUUAGGUCUUAAUGCAAAAUCUAGGACCAUUACCUAAUGCUGUUUGUCUGACCAGGAAACUUUUUUACUAUGAUGAAGUUACACCCCCAGAUUACCAACCACCUGGUUUUAAGGAUGGUGAUUAUGAAGGAGUAAUAUUUGAUGGGGACCCUACAUACUUAAAUGUGGGAGAAGUACCAACACCUUUUUACAACUCCAGAUUAAAAGUGACCACUGAGAAGGAACGAAUGGAAAAUAUUGAUUCAACCAUACUCAAACCAAAAGGAUCAAAAACACAAUUUUGAAAACUUCUAAGGGACAAAGAUGAUGUAGAAGAUGAAAAUCAUAAUAAUUUUGACAUUAAAACUAAAAUGAACGCAGAGAAUGAAAACUCUGGAGCUUCUGGAAUCAAGAAGCAGAUUUAGAUUGUAAGAAAGAAGAAACUGCAAUUCAAAAAGAGCCACUGUCCUUCAAUUUCUCAUUGUCAGGUUGAGCAGUUAGAGCCAGUACAACAUCUGAACUUGAUGUGUCUGAGAGCAAAACAAGGAGCAGAAAAUUCUCUCAGAGUAAAAUAGUAAAUGGAGAUAAUCAACAAGGACAAACGUCUGAAGAAAAUCGGAAGAGAAGUCUUCGUCAGUUUGGGAAAACACGUCCUUCAUGUCUUGGAAUCUAGUCAAGAGUCAGUGCUGAAGAAAAGGAGAGUUAGUGAACCGAAGGAACAUACCUAAAAAUUAUUUUUCUUAUGCAGAUUUGCAGCUCUCAACAUCUAAACUUACAUGCUGUAAUAUUUGAAGGUGUGCCUUCUGAACUUCUGAAAAUUAUUUUGUAGUUCAUAGUUAUUAAACUAAUGAAAGUUUUAGCUAUUAUAUUGUGUUUACCUGAGAUAAAUCCAAGGGAACUUUUGACUAAACAAAAAUACAAAUGUCAUUGAUUCUGCUCAUAUCCACUGAAUACAAUCUGCCUUCUAUUUUAAAGAAAGCUUUUUUAAAAAUGUGUUAAGUUUUAAGGCCCUCUAAAACCAUUUCUGAAAUGUUUAUUCUGACUUUAAAAUUCUGUAAGGAUUCACUUUUUACUUAUGUUAAAACUGUACCAUUUACUUGGUGCUAUUAAAACAAUGUUUGCUAUUUUGAAAAAAGAAAAAAGAAAGAGUUGUUUAUUUGAAAAGGCUAAAACUACUGAUAGAUCAUUUGCUAAAUUAAGUAAAAGAAAUAAAGCUUAUCUCAAUUAAGAAAACCAUAGAUGAAGAAAGAAAUAACCUGACAAAUACUGUGGAAAUGCAGAGAACCAUACAGACAUACGUUUUAAAAAUCCUAUGGGGAUAGAGAGAUGGUUCAGCAGUGAAGAGAGAGCACUGGCUGUUCUUCCAGAGGUCCUGAGUUCAAUUCCCAGCAACCACAUGAUGGCUCCCAACCAUCUGUAAUGGAACCCAAUGCCCUCUUCUGGUGUGUCUGAAGACAGCUACGAUGUACUCAUAUAAAUAAAAUAAAUCUUUAAAAACAUUCUAUACUCUACUAAACUGGAAAACCAAAAAGAGAUGGAUGAAUUUCUUGAAACAUAGGACUUACUAUAGUUAAAUAAAGAUGAAGUACAUAAUUUAAAUGGAUCAAUAGCAACCAAUGAGAUAGGAGCAGUUAUUUAAAAUUUCAUAACUGAAAAAUAGCCAAGGUCCAGAUAGAGCACUGCAGAUUUUGUCAAUACUGUCAAUUGAAGAACUAACACCAAUACUCCUUAAAUUAUGCCAUACAAUGGAAAAGGAAGGAAUAUUUCCAAACUUUUUGUGAAGCCAGGAUUACUCUGAUAUUAAAACCAAACGAUACAACAACAACAAAAUUAUCAGCCAAUAUUUCUAAUGAACAUGGAUGCAAACAUUCUCAAUAAAGUACUUGUAAGCCAAAUUCAAGAACACAUUUUUAAAAAUCAAUAAACAGUCCUAUAUCCC